GACGAACGCUGGCGGCGUGCUUAACACAUGCAAGUCGAACGGAAAGGCCCUGCUUUUGUGGGGUGCUCGAGUGGCGAACGGGUGAGUAACACGUGAGUAACCUGCCCUUGACUUUGGGAUAACUUCAGGAAACUGGGGCUAAUACCGGAUAGGAGCUCCUGCUGCAUGGUGGGGGUUGGAAAGUUUCGGCGGUUUGGGAUGGACUCGCGGCUUAUCAGCUUGUUGGUGGGGUAGUGGCUUACCAAGGCUUUGACGGGUAGCCGGCCUGAGAGGGUGACCGGCCACAUUGGGACUGAGAUACGGGCCAGACUGCUACGGGAGGCAUCAGUGGGGAAUAGUGCACAAAGGGCGGAAGCCUGGUGCAGCAACGCCGCGUGCGGGAUGACGGCCUUCGGGUUGUAAACCGCUUCCGCCUGUGACGAAGCGUGAGUGACGGUAAUGGGUAAAGAAGCACCGGCUAACUACGUG
rnacentral:rRNA from 1 species